CGGCNCAGGUGCGUAACGCGUAUGCAACCGUACCUUUUACAGGGGCAUAACACUGAGAAAUUGGUACUAAUUCCCCAUAAUAUCUGAGACGGCAUCGUUUUGGGUUGAAAACUCCGGUGGUAAAAGAUGGGCAUGCGUUGUAUUAGCUAGUUGGUGAGGUAACGGCUCACCAAGGCGACGAUACAUAGGGGGACUGAGAGGUUAACCCCCCACAUUGGUACUGAGACACGGACCAAACUCCUACGGAAGGCAGCAG
rnacentral:rRNA from 1 species